rnacentral:rRNA from 1 species
CCUACGGGAGGCAGCAGUGGGGGAUAUUGCACAAUGGGGGAAACCCUGAUGCAGCGACGCCGCGUGUGGGAAGACGGUCCUCUGGUUUUUAAACCAUUGUCCCCAGGGACGAAGAUGACGGUACCUGGGGAGCAAGCUCCGGCUAACUACGUGCCAGCAGCCGCGGUAAUACGUAGGGGGCGAGCGUUGUCCGGAAUUACUGGGGGAAAAGGGAGCGUAGGCGGGACGGCAAGUUGGGUGUCAAAUCUACCGGCUCAACCGGUAGCCGCACUCAAAACUGCAGUUCUUGAGUGAAGUAGAGGCAGGCGGAAUUCCGAGUGUAGCGGUGAAAUGCGUAGAUAUUAGGAGGAACACCAGUGGCGAAGGCGGCCUGCUGGGCUUUUACUGACGCUGAGGCUCGAAAGUGUGGGGAGCAAACAGGAUUAGAUACCCCUGUAGUC